GACGAACGCUGGCGGCGUGCCUAAUACAUGCAAGUUGAGCGAUGAAGAUUGGUGCUUGCUCCAAUUUGAAGAGCAGCGAACGGGUGAGUAACGCGUGGGGAAUCUGCCUUUGAGCGGGGGACAACAUUUGGAAACGAAUGCUAAUACCGCAUAACAACUUUAAACAUAAGUUUUAAGUUUGAAAGAUGCAAUUGCAUCACUCAAAGAUGAUCCCGCGUUGUAUUAGCUAGGUGGUGAGGUAAAGGCUCACCAAGGCGAUGAUACAUAGCCGACCUGAGAGGGUAAUCGGCCACAUUGGGACUGGGACAAGGCCCAAACUCCUACGGGAGGCAGCAGUAGGGAAUCUUCGGCAAUGGACGAAAGUCUGACCGAGCAACGCCGCGUGAGUGAAGAAGGGUUUCGGGUCGUAAAACUCUGUUGGUAGAGAAGAACGUUGGUGAGAGUGAAAAGCUCAUCAAGUGACGGUAACUACCCAGAAAGGUACGGCUAACUACGUG
rnacentral:rRNA from 1 species